UCGGAGAACAUCACACAAAAAGU
rnacentral:piRNA from 1 species